UCCCCCAUCCUCCAUUCAAAUUUGUCCGAAAAAUACCUCCUCCUUCGCUCGCAUUGUAUCACCUUCCUCUGCCCAGCGCCACUCGCGACGUCGUCUCUCUGUCCAGCGACACCGAGUGAUGUUUCUCCGUCUACACAGCGCCGCCACUCCCAAGUGCUCGUCCAACGGAGCAAACCAGAUUAACACCCCGAGUACGAAAGCCCUCUAACGUUCCUCUGUUUCACUGCCGACCCUGCUCAGCUUCAUAGAUUUUGCAGUCAAACAAAAGAGGGAGCAAAGCAGGGAAAAGAAAGGGUAAAAGGACCAAAGAUUUUGAUGACCUCUGCUUUCAUAAACUUGUCCGUUGCUUGCAGAGUUGUGUAAAUUCUUCUGGUACCAUGCCUUUUCCCUGAGACUUUUUCUGAGUUCAUUGUAUCAUUUGCUGAAGAUAAUAGUUAUGGUAGUUCUAUGUAUUAAUUUUUCAAGGGUUAUUAGUUUGCUCAUUCUUGUGGACAAAAACAGAAAAGAAUUAGCUCAAUCCCAUUGAUUACUUCUUUGUAGUACUUGAUUUAGUUUUAGAAGUAAAACAAACAAAUGUAUUUGGCUAAUAUGUAAACUCAAUUUCGAUACUUUCUUUUAGUUGAACCCAAGAGUUGAACUCAAAAUCCAACCAUUUCCCUACACUUGCUGCUUGUCCUCUGGCAGUUUGCUAGGAUCCCUUUUGACAUGCUUCUGUACUUUAUUAUACUCGAUGUUGGCAACACAGACAUGCACAUAUAUGCUAUACAGGAUUGAACCCAAGUGCUUCUUUUGUGAUGAAUCAUGAAAUUCUUUACAUGUACGGCUUAAGAGUCUAUCAUUGAUCUCCUUUACCAAUAAUCUGGGGCGAUCAGCUGUCUCCACAUAAAGCAAACUGCAAAGAUAAUAUCAUAUUGGGGACAGGGGGAGACAACAGAGAUUUUUUCCUGCUUCACUCAUUCAAAGAUAUCACCACUCACACUAGGUAUAUAAUUGCUAAUAUAGGGCUGCAGUCUCGCAAAAUUGGCAUAGAAGCAGCUUGUUGGAGUGCAGGUGUAAAUUACAUGAGAAAACAACUUAUACAAGCAUUACCUCUGUGUAUAACUUGGAUCUUUUGCAAGUUAAUUCUUGGGGCUGAUUAAUUUGAGAUGGGUUUGUGUUUACUACUUGUUGCUCCCCCAAGAAGUAUAGAAUCAUUCUAUUUUAUCAAGUUUGAGGGAGUUAGAAUUAGGAGAAGCUUAUGUUAUUUUAUUUUUUGUAUGUUAAUUUAGAAGUGUAAAGUAUUUCUACUUCUAGAGUUGCUCACCCUGUAAUUGGGAGUAUGAAACUUCCUCUUCGAAGUCAUUAUUUUUUAUGCCACUCCUAUGUUAUAGUAAAUGGUAAUUUUAUUAUUCAAUGAUGGCUUUGUACCUUAACAGAAGUCUUAGCUAAUCUUUUUUUUUUUUAAAAAAAAAAAAAAAGGUUUUGCCUUCCAAAUUAAAAAAAUUGGUUGUAUGAUUUUUUUUGUUUUGGAUGAACUAGUCUCAUUUGUAAAUUAUUAUGGUUCUGCAUAUGUUUGUAAUUUCUAUGUAUGCAGGACUCAUAACUAUAUAGUGAUGAGAGGAUGAGUUAGAAUGAGUCCUAUAGGGACACCAAGAGUGCCAUAUAGAUGUUUGGUGAGGGAACUUGGCAAUGAGUUGGGGGCUGGCAAUCUAAGAGUUAUUAUUUAUGGCUAAUCGAUUGAAUUUAUGAAUCUAAGAGUUAUUAUUUAAGGAUGUUUAAAGAUAGAUAUGAUGCAUGCUUGGGGCUGGCAAUCACAACCUACGAUUCUCUUGGGCCAUGGACUCAAAACCAUGAUCUUUAACCUUGUUAAGCUGCUAUCAAUUUGGACUUUUUGUUCAUAAUCAAAACAGUGGUGUUUGAUUAUUGUUGUUGGUUUAAUAAUCUUCCCAAAAUUCAAUGUUGAAAUUAUUUUGUUGAGUCAGAUCGUAAAUGGUGUUCAGCAUUUGAUGUUUCUUAUGUAUGCCACUGAACAGGUUAGUGAAUAAGUGGAGUGUGCUUUUCUUUAUGAAUAUUGUUGUUUUAUAAAGCUGAGUUGUUUCAAAAAACAUGGGUACUUACGCACUGCUGGUUGCACAAGAGAUUUUUGUGUUACUUACCAAAGUAAGGGGAGCUGAAGGCCUGCAUUCAGGGGGGAGAAAAAAGAAAAAAUUUAUUUAUGGGUACUUCCAUGACUAAAGAACGUUUAGAAAAAGGCAUGAAUAUUUGACUUUGAUAACUGCAUACAACUUUCUGAUUACAAGUCUCUUGCAGAGUAUGUAUAAUAUAUAGAAGGAACAUCACCUUAAUUUGACCAAAAAAAAAAAAUCUGAUAUAAGUGCUUUUCCUUUUUGUGUUCAUUUUUUGGUUUAUCAUUACACAAAUUUUCCUCAUUAUGGCUUUCAAUAUCUAAUCUAUCUGUUUCUGCCAUUUUCAGAUCUAGUCUUUAACUUUGGUAAACAUUCCACCUAACAAUUUGGUAAUGACUUUGUGGUUCAAACUUCGGAUUGACUAAAAUUGCGAAGAUUGGAAGCGAAGCUGUUGAUUUGCAUAAUUGCAUAUUUACUAUUUAGUUCAUGUAACUUUAGCACCCUAUGCGGUUGCUAAGCAUGCACUGAUCUCUGUAUAUAUUGAGAGAGAGAAGACCAUGAUUUUCUAUUAUGUAGAUCAAUAUUGUAAGCUCAUUCCACGUGAAAAUGAUGAGGGAAUUUGGCAACUUUUUGGUGAUAUUUGUCUCCAUAUGGUUGUUUUCUUCAUGGCCAUCAAGACGGAAAAUCUAUACAUGUGAUUCUGGUGUUUCACCUUCAUGGCCAGAUUUUUGUGGUACUGAUUAAUCUACAAUGGGGAUGAAAAGGCUCAAUUUGCUUUGCAUCCUUGCUUUAUUGUCUAAGAUACGUUUUAGUAUACAACGACAACUAUGAAUAUUCAGUGCCCUUUAAGUUUGAACCAAUGGCAUUGUUAAGGUUUCUCUAGAAGUUCUCACCUUUCAGAACUCAAGACUUUGUAUUCUUGUUGA